ACUCCUACGGGAGGCAGCAGUGGGAAUAUUGGACAAUGGGGGAAACCCUGAUCCAGCCAUGCCGCGUGUGUGAAGAAGGCCUUCGGGUUGUAAAGCACUUUCAGUGGGGAGGAAAGGUUGAUGGUUAAUACCUAUCAGCUGUGACGUUACCCACGAGAAGACACCGGCUAACUCCGUGCCAGCAGCCGCGGUAAUACGGAGGGUGCAAGCGUUAAUCGGAAUUACUGGGCGUAAAGCGUGCGCAGGCGGUCUGUUAAGCGAGAUGUGAAAGCCCCGGGCUCAACCUGGGAACUGCAUUUCGAACUGGCAGACUAGAGUCUUGUAGAGGGGGUAGAAUUCCAGGUGUAGCGGGUGAAAUGCGUAGAGAUCUGGAGGAAUACCGGUGGCGAAGGCGGCCCCCUGGACAAAGACUGACGCUCAGGCACGCAAAGCGUGGGGAGCAAACAGGAUUAGAUACCCU
rnacentral:rRNA from 1 species